rnacentral:tRNA from 1 species
CGAUGGCCGCGCCCGUGCCCUUGAUCAUGUCGCGCAUCGCCGUGUUCUCGCGCUUG